rnacentral:rRNA from 1 species
AUUGAACGCUGGCGGCAUGCCCUACACAUGCAAGUCGAACGGUAACGCGGGGCAACCUGGCGACGAGUGGCGAACGGGUGAGUAAUGCAUCGGAACGUGCCCGGUAGUGGGGGAUAACUGCUCGAAAGAGCAGCUAAUACCGCAUACGACCUGAGGGUGAAAGGGGGGGAUCGCAAGACCUCUCGCUAUCGGAGCGGCCGAUGUCGGAUUAGCUAGUUGGUGGGGUAAAGGCCUACCAAGGCGACGAUCCGUAGCUGGUCUGAGAGGACGACCAGCCACACUGGGACGGAGACACGGCCCAGACUCCUACGGGAGGCAGCAGUGGGGAAUUUUGGACAAUGGACGUAAGUCUGAUCCAGCCAUGCCGCGUGCGGGAAGAAGGCCUUCGGGUUGUAAACCGCUUUUGUCAGGGAAGAAAUCUUCUGAGUUAAUACCUCGGGAGGAUGACGGUACCUGAAGAAUAAGCACCGGCUAACUACGUGCCAGCCGCCGCUGUAAUAC